UACGUAGGUCGCAAGCGUUGUCCGGAUUUACUGGGCGUAAAGAGCGCGCAGGCGGCUGGUCAAGUCCGAUGUGAAAUCUCCCGGCUCAACUGGGAAACUGCAUCGGAAACUGAUCGGCUUGAAGGUGGGAGAGGGUAGUGGAAUUCCCGGUGUAGUGGUGAAAUGCGUAGAUAUCUGGAGGAACACCGGUGGCGAAGGCGGCUGCCUGGGCCUGGCCUGACGCUGAGGCGCGAAAGCGUGGGGAGCGAUCCGG
rnacentral:rRNA from 1 species